rnacentral:tRNA from 1 species
GCGAGGGUGGCGGAAUCGGCAUACGCACAAGCCUAAGGAGCUUGGCUCUCUGAGCGUGAGGGUUCAAAUCCCUUCCCUCGCA